AGCUAGAGUAUGAUAGAGGAAAGCAGAAUUUCUAGUGUAGAGGUGAAAUUCGUAGAUAUUAGAAAGAAUACCAAUUGCGAAGGCAGCUUUCUGGAUCAUUACUGACGCUGAGGAACGAAAGCAUGGGUAGCGAAGAGGAUUAGAUACCCUCGUAGUCCAUGCCGUAAACGAUGUGUGUUAGACGUUGGAAAUUUAUUUUCAGUGUCGCAGCGAAAGCAUUAAACACACCGCCUGGGGAGUACGACCGCAAGGUUAAAACUCAAAUGAAUUGACGGGGACCCGCACAAGUAGUGGAGCAUGUGGUUUAAUUCGAAGAUACGCGCAGAACCUUACCAACACUUGACAUGUUCGUCGCGACUCUAAGAGAUUAGAGUUUUCGGUUCGGCCGGACGAAACACAGGUGCUGCAUGGCUGUCGUCAGCUCGUGUCGUGAGAUGUUGGGUUAAGUCCCGCAACGAGCGCAACCCUCACUUUUAGUUGCCAUCAUUCAGUUGGGCACUCUGAAAGAACUGCCAGUGGUAAGCUGGAGGAAGGUGGGGAUGACGUCAAGUCCUCAUGGCCCUUACGUGUUGGGCUACACACGUGCUACAAUGGCAUUUACAAUAGGAAGCAAGGUGGCGACAUCAAGCAAAUCCUAAAAAGAUGCCUCAGUUCGGAUUGUACUCUGCAACUCGAGUACAUGAAGCUGGAAUUACUAGUAAUCGCGGAUCAGCGCGCCGCGGUGAAUACGUUCCCGGGUCUUGUACACACCGCCCGUCACACCAUGGGAGUUGGUUCUACCUUAAGGCAAGGUUUUAAACCCUUGACUACGGUAUAGUCAGCGACUGGGGUGAAGUCGUAACAAGGUAAC
rnacentral:rRNA from 1 species